rnacentral:rRNA from 1 species
UACGUAGGGUGCAAGCGUUAAUCGGAUUCAUUGGGCGUAAAGGGUGUGUAGGAGGUCGGGUAAGUCAGGUGUGAAAUCUCACAGCUUAACUGUGAAACUGCGCUUGAUACUGCUCGGCUAGAGGAUCGGAGGGGGUAACGGAAUUUAUGGUGUAGCAGUGAAAUGCGUAGAUAUCAUAAGGAACACCGGUGGCGAAGGCGGUUACCUGGAAGAUUCCUGACUCUGAAACACGAAGGCCAGGGGAGCAAACGGG